rnacentral:rRNA from 1 species
AGUACUGUGAAGGAAAGGUGAAAAGCACCCCGGGAGGGGAGUGAAAAAGAACCUGAAACCCUGUGCCUACAAGCACCUAGAGCACGUCAAUGUGUGAUAGGGUACUUUUUGUAGAACGGUCCGGCGAGCGAUUGUAUGCAGCAAGGUUAAGGACUUAAGGUCUGGAGCCGAAGCGAAAGCGAGUUUGAAAAGGGCGUUAAGUUGCAUACAAUGGGCCCGAAACCGGGUGACCUACCCAUGGUCAGGUUGAAGUGGAAGUAAAAUUCCAUGGAGGACCGAACCGACCUCCGUUGAAAAGGCGGCGGAUGAACUGUGGGUAGCGGAGAAAUUCCAAUCGAACCCGGAGAUAGCUGGUUCUCCCCGAAAUAGUUUUAGGACUAGCCUCAAGUUAGAUACCUGGAGGUAAAGCACUGAAUAGCCUAGCGGCCGAGAGGUUAGCGAAGCUUAUCAAACUCAGAAUGCCAGAGUAUUGAUGCUUGGGAGUCAGACAGUGUCAGAUAAAUGUCAUUGUCAAAAGGGAAACAGCCCAGAUCUACAGCUAAGGUCCCAAAGUCAGGUUAAGUGGAAAACGAUGUGAAGAUACGCAGACAACCAGGAUGUUGGCUCAGAAGCAGCCACUCAUUCAAAGAGUGCGUAAUAGCUCACUGGUCGAGCGUCUUUGCGCGGAGAAUUUAACGGGGCUAAACCUGACACCGAAGCUUAGGCAAUACAGCAAUGUAUUGGGUAGGGGAGCGUUGUAUACGCGGUGAAACAGUAGCGCAAGCGGCUGUGGAGUGUAUAGAAGUGAGAAUGCCGGAAUGAGUAGCGCGAAUGCAGUGAGAAUCUGCAUGGCCGAAAGCCUCAGGUUUUUGGAGGAAGGUUCGUCCGCUCCAAGUUAGUCGGGAGCUAAGGUGAGGCCGGAAGGCGUAGCCGAUGCACAGACGGUAGAGAUUCCGUCACCACCAAAAGAGUUAAGCACAGGGACACAUUUGAAGUCUCAGAGCCGGGUGUUGGUUCCGGUAGAGAUCGAGGGAAAUUAGUACCGAAGUCUGGGAUGGAAGAUGGCGAGAAAAGCUGUGUGUAUUUCUGAGGUGCCCGUACCGCAAACCGACACAGGUAGGUAGGAAGAAGAUUCUAAGGCCAACGGGAGAAGGGUUGUUAAGGAACUCGGCAAAUUGACCCCGUAACUUCGGGAGAAGGGGUGCUCCAGAGAUGGAGCCGCAGAGAAUCGGCCCAAGCAACUGUUUACCAAAAACACAGGUUUGUGCUAAAUCGAAAGAUGACGUAUACGAGCUGACGCCUGCCCGGUGCUGGAAGGUUAAGAGGAGAUGUGCAAGCAUUGAAUCGAAGCCCCAGUGAACGGCGGCCGUAACUAUAACGGUCCUAAGGUAGCGAAAUUCCUUGUCAGGUAAGUUCUGACCCG